UAGCCGUAAACGAUACUCGCUAGGUGUCGGCCACGGUGCGACCGUUGUCGGUGCCGUAGGGAAGCCGUGAAGCGAGCCACCUGGGAAGUACGGCCGCAAGGCUGAAACUUAAAGGAAUUGGCGGGGGAGGCACAACAACGGGUGGAGCUUGCGGUUUAAUUUGGAUUCAACGCCGGAAAUACUUACCGGGACCGACAGCAACAUGAAGGCCAAGCUGAAGACUUUGCCGGAUUAGCUGAGAGGAGGUGCAUGGCGUAGUCGUGU
rnacentral:rRNA from 1 species